GGGCCUGUAGUUCAACGGUAGAAUACGAGGCUGGCAGUCUUGAGAUUCGGGUUCGAUUCCCGGCAGGUCCA
rnacentral:tRNA from 3 species